rnacentral:rRNA from 1 species
AAAGGAAUUGACGGGGGCCCGCACAAGCGGAGGAACAUGUGGUUUAAUUCGAUGAUACGCGAGGAACCUUACCCGGGCUCGAACGGCAUAUGGAGGCGGCAGAGAUGCCGCCGCCCCUCGGGGCAUAUGUCGAGGUGCUGCAUGGUUGUCGUCAGCUCGUGCCGUGAGGUGUCGGCUCAAGUGCCAUAACGAGCGCAACCCCUGCAUCCAGUUGCCAGCAAGCAGUGUUGGGGACUCUGGAAGGACUGCCACCGCAAGGUGAGAGGAAGGGGGGGAUGACGUCAAAUCAGCACGGCCCUUACGUCCGGGGCGACACACGUGUUACAAUGGCGGCUACAGAGGGGAGCUACCCUGCGAAGGGAUGCCAAUCUCGAAAAGCCGUCUCAGUUCGGACUGGAGUCUGCAACUCGACUCCACGAAGCUGGAUUCGCUAGUAAUCGCGCAUCAGCCAUGGCGCGGUGAAUACGUUCCCGGGCCUUGUACACACCGCCCGU